UCCUACGGGAGGCAGCAGUGAGGAAUAUUGGUCAAUGGGCGCAAGCCUGAACCAGCCAUCCCGCGUGAAGGAUGAAGGUCCUAUGGAUUGUAAACUUCUUUUAUACACCAAGAAAAAGCAGGACGUGUCCUGCCCCGACGGUAGUGUAUGAAUAAGCAUCGGCUAACUCCGUGCCAGCAGCCGCGGUAAUA
rnacentral:rRNA from 1 species